rnacentral:lncRNA from 1 species
UGGAGGCAAGGCAACAAUUUUGCUGUCAGACACAUUGUCAUCAUUGCAAAAAUCAGACAAAGCACAUACAGAGGUAAAAUCUUCUGAUCCUUCUCUGUUAUGUGUUAUCGAUGCUUGAUGAAGCUUUUGCUGAAGUUUUUUUUCGGUUAUCUGAGAAAAAUAUAUUUUUUUCGAUGAAUGUUAAUCGGUAAUCGGGACUUUUAUUUCUGUUUGAGGCUCCGAUCCUGUAUCAGUAGGUGUUUUGGGUGAUUUUCCGACAUCUCUGACCUUGUUCCGACGAGUUCUUCAAAUUCUAGGGUUUUCCGACUUUCGGACCUAGAGUUUUGGUGUUAUCCGAUGACGUUUUCUUCGCUUGUUCCGACGAGUUCUUCAAAUUCUAGGGUUUUUCGACUUUCGGACCUAGAGUGUUGGUGUUAUCCGAUGACUUUUUCCUUCGCUUGAUGGACAUUUUGGGUGAUUUUCCGGCGUCUAUGACCUUGCUGAAAACAUGAAGAUUUGAAGAUGAAAUCAGAAAAGAUGAAGAUGAACAGUGUGAAACAGAUAUAGAGAGACAAAAGCUUCUGGAGAAAGCCAGAAGACCAA